rnacentral:lncRNA from 1 species
GGCCCCCCCGUGGCUCCCUUGCCCUACUUUUUCCGCCUACAAAUCCCCGAAAAAUCUGAAACCACGGAAGGGAUCCACAAAAAUACUUUUCCACCGCCGCAAGCUUCUGUCUCCGCAAGAUCUCAUCUGGGGCACGUUCUGGUGCCCUGCCGGAGGGGGGAUUUAGACAUGGAGGGCUUCUUCCUCAACACCAUUGCCUCUCCGAUGAUGCGUGAGUAGUUUACCAUAGACCUUCGGGUCCAUAGCUAGUAGCUAGAUGUCUUCUUCUCUCUUGGAUCUUCAAUACAGAGUUCUCCAUGAUCUUCAUGGAGAUCUAUCCAAUGUAAUCUUCUUUUGCGGUGUGUUUGUCGAGAUUCGAUGAAUUGUGGAUUUAUGAUAAGAUUAUCUAUGAAUCUUAUUUAAGUUUCUUC